ensembl:lncRNA
GUUGAGAUGAAACGUAAUGGGGGGUGGAAGGUUGCUGGUCGACUUAGCACUCUGAUGGAACCACACAAUUGAAAGUGGUGGCUGAGUGGCACAGACUCCAAAAGUCGGUUUAGUGUUUGAUGCAUUUCCCAAGAAAGCCAACAUUACUCCAACUGACACAACAGUUCUUCAUGGUGAUGCCAGCAUCUCACAAGUCAGACUAAUGACCAACAUUUUUACCUCUGAAGCUAAGCAGGAUGGAAGACCAGAUGCUGCUGGAAGCGGUGUUGGAGGGCAAGUAAAGGGGACUCUUUCCUCUGGUUUAAAUAUCAAACCCCAAAGCACUAAGGUCGUGAAGUGGACAUCUUUCAAAUGGGUUGUUAAAUGGGUGUCCUGACUCUCCAUUUUCCUUCAGACAUGUGCUACGGACCGUAGUCAGAACAUAUUCUGGAUGUUUAUGAUAGAGACCUGACGUGACAAAGCGUGUGGGUGUGAUCACUCUGAAUGUAGAUCUUAUCCAACCACCAGGAAAUGUAGGUGAUGUGGCAAAUUGUGGAGUUUGCCUCAACUGGUUUCCCCCGAGUUCAGCUCUUACAUCCAAAGCAAGGGGAUCCAGCCCAUUAGAACGGCCUGGUAAACCCUUACUGCUCUACCACUGCAGUCUGUCCUGCCAGGUUGAUUCUGGUACUAGACCUGCCUUUACACAACCCAACAGCAUAGAAAGCAGGAGCGCUACAAAACCUUAAAGAAGCACGGCUUCCUGGAAUCCAAGUGAUCGAUUUUGCAGAGUGCCAGGGCCACAUCGAGCAGACAAGCUCUGGACCUUGUGGUUUGCCCCACGUCACAACAGCAGUUAGGCCCAGGAACUUUUCAACUGACUGACGACUGGUGCUGCCACGCCCCCUGCAUGUCCUCACUCUGCCAUUGAUGCCACCCGGUUCUGGUUCACUACCGGCAGCAUGGGCUCCCUUUGCCCAACCUGGAGUUUAAGUGCCAACCCCCCAAAUACCUGUGGUUGUUGCUGUGGCA